rnacentral:rRNA from 1 species
CCAAUAGCGUAUAUUAAAGUUGUUGCAGUUAAAAAGCUCGUAGUUGAAUUUCGGGGUCAGUAGGUUGGUCAUGCCACUGGUAUGUACUGGUCUCACUGAUUCCUCCUUCCUGAUGAACUGUAAUGCCAUUAAUUUGGUGUUGCAGGGAAUCUGGACUGUUACUUUGAAAAAAAUUAGAGUGUUUAAAGCAGGCUAACGCCUGAAUACAUUAGCAUGGAAUAAUGAAAUAGGACGUUCGAUCCUAUUUUGUUGGUUUCUAGGAUUGACGUAAUGAUUAAUAGGGAUAGUUGGGGGCAUUAGUAUUCAAUUGUCAGAGGUGAAAUUCUUGGAUUUAUUGAAGACUAACUACUGCGAAAGCAUUUGCCAAGGAUGUUUUCAUUAAUCAAGAACGAAAGUUAGGGGAUCGAAGACGAUCAGAUACCGUCGUAGUCUUAACCAUAAACUAUGCCGACUAGGGAUCGGAUGAUGUUAAUUUUUUAAUGACUCACUCGGCGCCUUACG